UGUAACUAUUUUAUUGCUCUCUCAAAUUUUCUCAAGCUUUGCAGUUCGAACAGCGAAUCUAAAGAAUGAUGAUUUAGCGAUUCAAAAGCACUCUCAGAAGGUGAUUGACGCUGUGAGAAGGGAAUUACAUGAAGAAUUGGAUAAGGCGAUAAUCAUGGAUUAUAGCCCUACUGGGCCCAAUCCGCGUCACGAUCCAUUUCCACCUCCACCACGUAAAUAGAUGAUAGUAGUACCAAAUUUUAAGUGUAAUUCAGAAUGAUGAUGUACACAUGUAGUGGUUUUGGUAAUAUAUUUGAUGACAUUCUGUUGUUAUAAAUUUGAUUAUUGCUAA